rnacentral:rRNA from 1 species
UACAGAGGGGGCAAGCGUUGUUCGGAAUUACUGGGCGUAAAGGGCGCGUAGGCGGCCUGUUAAGUCGAACGUGAAAUCCCCGGGCUCAACCCGGGAACUGCGUCCGAUACUGGCAGGCUUGAAUCCGGGAGAGGGAUGCGGAAUUCCAGGUGUAGCGGUGAAAUGCGUAGAUAUCUGGAGGAACACCGGUGGCGAAGGCGGCUUUCUGGUCUGCUCUUGACGCUGAGGCGCGAAAGCCAGGGUAGCAAACGGG